CGUAAUCCUAUCAGAGGCCUAUGGGGAGAAGGAGGGGAAGAGGCAAUGGGAGGAGGAGAAGGAAAAGAAGGAAUCAUGAAAUUAGAUGCAGCUCUAGGGAGGAAGAAGGAGAAGUGAGAGAUUUAUGGAAGAGAGAGAAGAAACUUCCACCAAGAUGUCAAUGGAGACUGAGCAAACCCUACCAGCCACACCAAGGCUCAUCAUGCUUGGAGAUAAACUUCUAACCUCAAGUGGAUGGUCAGCAUUGAGGGGAAAGAGACACAUUGCACUGAAGAGAAGCUGGAUUUUGCUGCAGCACUCUCUGCGUUUUUUGGUUGCUUUUAUAUAUUUUUUUAUAUUAAAGACCAGGAGUCAGCCAGUGCCACACUUGAGCUUAUUCAAAGGUCAGUGUUAAAAAUCAUUAUGUCCAAUCAUGGUUUUAUUUAAGGAAUAUCUUUUUUGCCAAUAUGUAUUUGUUGUUUUACUUGGUUCUCAUAAUACAGGUAUAUAUAUAUAUAUAUAU